GGAUUGAAUGGGGGCACCCUGAUCCAGCAAUGCCGCGUGAGUGAAGAAGGCCUUCGGGUUGUAAAGCUCUUUUGUCAGGGAAGAAACGGUGUUGCCGAAUAAGUGGCACUAAUGACGGUACCUGAAGAAUAAGCACCGGCUAACUACGUGCCAGCAGCCGCGGUAAUACGUAGGGUGCAAGCGUUAAUCGGAAUUACUGGGCGUAAAGCGUGCGCAGGCGGUUAUGUAAGUCAGAUGUGAAAUCCCCGGGCUUAACCUGGGAAUGGCAUUUGAGACUGCAUAGCUAGAGUGUGUCAGAGGGGGGUAGAAUUCCACGUGUAGCAGUGAAAUGCGUAGAGAUGUGGAGGAAUACCGAUGGCGAAGGCAGCCCCCUGGGAUAACACUGACGCUCAUGCACGAAAGCGUGGGGAGCAAACAGGAUUAGAUACCCUGGUAGUCCACGCCCUAAACGAUGUCUACUAGUUGUCGGGUCUUAAUUGACUUGGUAACGCAGCUAACGCGUGAAGUAGACCGCCUGGGGAGUACGGUCGCAAGAUUAAAACUCAAAGGAAUUGACGGA
rnacentral:rRNA from 1 species